rnacentral:rRNA from 1 species
UACAGAGGGGGCAAGCGUUGUUCGGAAUUACUGGGCGUAAAGGGCGCGUAGGCGGCCUGUUAAGUCGAACGUGAAAUCCCCGGGCUCAACCCGGGAACUGCGUCCGAUACUGGCAGGCUUGAAUCCGGGAGAGGGAUGCGGAAUUCCAGGUGUAGCGGUGAAAUGCGCAGAUAUCAGGAAGAACCACCGUGGCGAAAGCGGCUCUCUGGAACGGUACUGACGCUGAGACGCGAAAGCGUGGGGAGCGAACAGG